AGGACACUCUGAAGGUUGUGAUUCCAGAGUCGGGGUUUUGAGGGCGAGAUGAGUUUGUGUUUUAUCCAACUGGCCCACAAAGUCCCGCUUUUGGUGGUCACUUUGAUCAGCAAAAGAAG
rnacentral:pre_miRNA from 13 species